CCAGAACCGGCAUCUGGGGAGCAGCUGCUGGGAGUUAACCCCUUCUGGGCUGCGAGAAGCAGGGCAGGAGGAGCGGAUGUCGGGCCUGAGCGUGGCCGUGGGGGGGUCCAGUGCCGGGGGUGCACGCUGGGACUCCCCCCGUGUGCUGCAGGGCGCCUGGGCACCAAGUGCAAAGGGCAUUGGCUUCGCAGGGACACGCGGCAUGCAUGGAUGGCGAGGCAAGGCCUGAAUUUGCAGUUUGCUUUGGGACACAGCUGCAGGGGAUGCUGCGCUUGGCUUCUGAGGAGCAGCGCGGAGAUAAGGGGUGCCUGCGUGGCCGAAGCACGGGGAAGAGAAGGCAGAGACAAAGGGGACACGGAGAGAAGCAGGCAGAGAGCAGCAAGUCAAGUCGCAGGGGCAGGAGGGGGAUUUCUCCGCUGAAAUUGGGAAGGAGGGCUCAGAGUUCGUCCCUGUCUGCGCCUGAUGCAAAUCUGCUCGCCGGCAGAGCAAAGCAUUGCUCCCAAUAUCACAGAUGUGACACAACCUGCCGCAGCCGGAGCCAUCGGUGCACAGCCAGCAGAAGCGAGGCCUUGGAGAAGCCGCUCUUUGGCCGCUGGUGGCCCUGCCUGAGGCUCUGGCACUGCCAAGAAUUUCAGAUCCCAAAGCACAGCCGUCCAGAGACCAGCCUUGGAGCAGCUUCUGACAGCGUGAGGACCACAGAGGAAACGCUUUUGGGUUUUCUCAGGACUGCCCGUGACAAAUGCCUUCGUGGUCCUCAGCGUGGCCUCUGUAAGUACCCGCAGCAACCACCACGUGCUGCCCAGGCAGCGUCCAGCUGGGUCUGAAGCCUCGGAGGACUCCCAUCCUUUGGCUGGGAUCUCAGCAGGCUCCUGUCCUGUGAUAGCCCCAGCGUGGUGGGGAGAAGCCUGCUUUCUGCUGGGAUUUCCGAAGCCUUCCUUCUGCCGGGCACGGUGACCCCCGUGCGGAGGGGCUGAAUGCCUGCUCGCCCCUGGGCUCUGGCUGGAGCCAGGCUCUCUUCCUUCCAUCCGAUCUCUUCAGCACCCAUCUUGCAUCCAAUGCAUUCGACAAGGAUAGAAGAUAUCACGGUUUGCCAAUUCAUUUGGGAUUUUUAUUGAAAACGAGGAGGUGGGAUGAGAUUUACUGAGUUGAGGUGGAUACAAGGCAUCAGUGGAUUUCUUUUUCCCCAACAGAGCAGCAAAUGCGGUUUAGUGGGCACAGGCAGGAGAGCUGGUUCUAAGAGUUUUGCUUGUGUAGUCUAGAAAAAUACAGAGGCUAAGAGGUUUGUACGCUGGGGAGGAAACACCCGGGAAUGCAAGGAACUCUUUAAGCGAGAGGACACCGUCAGCAUAAAGCUAAAUUGGUAGAAACCUGUCAUGAGUAAAUGUCAGCUAAAAAUUAAAGGUUUCUCCUAAUCAUCAGUUGAGGGAGCUUAUAAAAUAGCUUUCCAAAGGGGUAAUUGAGGGAAGAAAUGUAACUGGUUCAAGA
rnacentral:lncRNA from 1 species